GCCGGGGUGGCGAAAUCGGUAGACGCCGCAGACUUAAAAUCUGCUGUCGCGCAAGCGGCGUACGGGUUCGAGUCCCGUCCCCGGCACCA
rnacentral:tRNA from 1 species